CAUCAUACAAUACUAAAUAACUCAGUUGUCUAUUUUCUGCAAACCUAAAAAAUAUAAAAAAAUUUAUAAAAAAUAUGAAUAAAUUUUAACAACUUAUUUAGAAAAGUAGUAAUGUAAAAAAAUAUGAAUAAUAAAUUUCAAAGUCAUUUUUUUAUACAUAAAAGAAUAUGAAUAAAUUAUUUUUUAUCUAAAUAUUAUUUUAAUUUUUUUUUAAAAAUAUAUAUAUAUUUUUAGGUAAAUAUUUUACACACAGAAGAAUGGAUCCUAAGGGGUUCUACUCAACAAACUGUGAUUCAUGAGGGCCUCGUGGUGCAUGUCUUCUUUGAUUUAAUUUC
rnacentral:lncRNA from 1 species